GGAGGUGAGGGCAAUCUGGCUGGGACUUCUGUCACCUCAUUGAUUGCCAGGGUUGAUUCUGCUGAUCUGACUAUCUAGGCAGGUAUCCCCUUUCUCCCUCAAUGCUCCAUGUGCAUCCCUCCCCUGAUAUAGGACCCUUACAAUGUCAAGGACAUAGGAGUAGGUUAGUUCCCUUGCUAGAACUUCCAAAUAAGCACUCAAGGGAACAACAGUGUCCACCUACACUAUUUUUUGGACAGAAUUGAAAUUCCUGAGUAUAAUCUUGGUCUUC
rnacentral:snRNA from 1 species